AUUGAACGCUGGCGGCAUGCCUUACACAUGCAAGUCGAACGGUAACGCGGGGCAACCUGGCGACGAGUGGCGAACGGGUGAGUAAUACAUCGGAACGUGCCCAGUAGUGGGGGAUAGCCCGGCGAAAGCCGGAUUAAUACCGCAUACGACCUACGGGUGAAAGCGGGGGAUCGCAAGACCUCGCGCUAUUGGAGCGGCCGAUGUCGGAUUAGCUAGUUGGUGGGGUAAAAGCCUACCAAGGCUACGAUUCGUAGCUGGUCUGAGGGGACGACCAGCCACACUGGGACUGAGACACGGCCCAGACUCCUACGGGAGGCAGCAGUGGGGAAUUUUGGACAAUGGGCGCAAGCCUGAUCCAGCCAUGCCGCGUGCGGGAAGAAGGCCUUCGGGUUGUAAACCGCUUUUGUCAGGGAAGAAACGGUCUGGGUUAAUAACCCGGACUAAUGACGGUACCUGAAGAAUAAGCACCGGCUAACUACGUGCCAGCCGCCGCGGUAAUAC
rnacentral:rRNA from 1 species